GGUGUUUUUAGCUUAUUUGGUAAAGCAUUGAACUGUGAAUUCAAAGAACAGGGUUCGAUUCCCGAAAACACCC
rnacentral:tRNA from 1 species